AACAUCCUGCGAUGUACGUAAGGCCGUAAAUGUUUCUAACCUUAUACGUGUUAUUCGGGAGACGAAAAUUCGUGACGGAUGCCAGGCCCACCUCCUGCUGGGAUGCAUGGGAAGGCAGAAGUGCGAAAGGUGUCACCCACCUGUGUGAGCGCAGGUUUUAGAAACAUGAGGUCAACGGCAGAGCGGGUAACGA
rnacentral:other from 2 species